AUUGAACGCUGGCGGCAUGCCUUACACAUGCAAGUCGAACGGUAACAGGUCUUCGGAUGCUGACGAGUGGCGAACGGGUGAGUAAUAUAUCGGAACGUGCCCAGUAGUGGGGGAUAGCCCGGCGAAAGCCGGAUUAAUACCGCAUACGACCUGAGGGUGAAAGGGGGGGAUUCGCAAGAACCUCUCGCUAUUGGAGCGGCCGAUAUCAGAUUAGGUAGUUGGUGGGGUAAAGGCCUACCAAGCCUGCGAUCUGUAGUUGGUCUGAGAGGACGACCAGCCACACUGGGACUGAGACACGGCCCAGACUCCUACGGGAGGCAGCAGUGGGGAAUUUUGGACAAUGGGCGCAAGCCUGAUCCAGCAAUGCCGCGUGCAGGAAGAAGGCCUUCGGGUUGUAAACUGCUUUUGUCAGGGAAGAAAUCCUCUGGGUUAAUACCUCGGGGGGAUGACGGUACCUGAAGAAUAAGCACCGGCUAACUACGUGCCAGCAGCCGCGGUAAAAC
rnacentral:rRNA from 1 species